GGUGGCUCAGUGGUAGAGCGCUUGCCUAGCAUGCAUGAAGUCCUGGGUUCAAUUCCUCAGCACCA
rnacentral:tRNA from 1 species